rnacentral:rRNA from 1 species
UCCCGUUGAUCCUGCGGGAGGCUGCUGCUAUUGGAGUUCGACUAAGCCAUGCAAGUCAAAGGGUCUCUUCGGAGGCACAGGCAGAAUGCUCAGUAACACGUCGAUAACCUACCCUUAGAUCAGGGAUAACCUUGGGAAACUGAGGCUAAAACCUGAUAGAAGAAAAUAAUUGGAAAAUUGUUUCUUUCAAAAGCAAUGUCUAAGGAUGGGUCGGCGGCGGAUUAGGUUGUUGGUGGUGUAAAGGACCACCAAGCCGACGAUCCGUACGGGCCUUGAGAGAGGUAGCCCGGAGAAGGGCACUGAGACACUGGCCCUAGCCCUACGGGGUGCAGCAGGCGCGAAACCUUUACAAUGUACGCAAGUGUGAUAAGGGAACUCCAAGUGCUUAUGCUUUGCAUAGGCUUUUGCCAUGGGUAAAAACCAUGGCGAAUAAGUGGUGGGUAAGACGGGUGCCAGCCGCCGCGGUAACACCUGCGCCACGAGUGGGAGCCACGAUUAUUGGGCCUAAAGCGUCCGUAGCCGGUUUUGCAAAUCUUUUGUGAAAUUGUCAGGCUUAACUUGACAACGUGCAGAAGACACUACAAGACUUGGAACCAGUAGGAGUUAGAAGGAUGUUUGGGGGAGCGGUAAAAUGCUAUAAUCCCAGAUAGACUACCUGUGGCGAAGGCGUCUAACUAGAAUGGAUUCGACGGUGAGGGACGAAAGCUAGGGGAGCGAUCCGGAUUAGAUACCCGAGUAGUCCUAGCUGUAAACGUUGCGAGCUAGGUGUUGCAAAUUCUACAUGAAUUUGCAGUGUCGAAGCGAAGGUGUUAAGCUCGCCGCCUGGGAAGUAUGGUCGCAAGACUGAAACUUAAAGGAAUUGGCGGGGGAGCACCACAAGGGGUGCGGCGUGCGGUUUAAUCUAAUUCAACGCAGAAAAUCUCACCAGAGGCGACGGCAGGAUGAAAGUCAAGCUGAAGACUUUACUUGACGAGCCGAGAGGUAGUGCAUGGCCGCCGUCAGCUCGUGCCGUAAGGUGUCCUGUUAAGUCAGGUAACGAGCGAGACCUGUAUCCAUAAUUGCUAACAGAUUCUUUCGAAUGACUGAGCUCUUUAUGGGGACUGCCCUGGAAACAGGGAGGAAGGUGCAGGCAACGGUAGGUCUGUAUGCUCCGAAUCUUCUGGGCUACACGCGCGCAACAAUGGCUGAGACAAUGGGUUACGACUCCGAAAGGAGAAGUUAAUCCUCUAAACUCAGUCCAAGUCUAGAUUGAGGGUUGCAAUUCACCCUCAUGACAAUGGAAUCCCUAGUAAUCGGAUCUCAUCACAAUCCGGUGAAUAUGUCCCUGCUCCUUGCACACACCGCCCGUCAAACCACCCGAGUAGGGUUUAGGUGAGGCUUAGUUUUCAAUUAAGUCGAACCUGAGCUCAGCGAGGAGGGUUAAGUCGUCACAAGGUA